CUGGAGAACAUGUACAGCUAUGAACUGUGAACUAAAGUUUUGGCAAAUUUGCGUAUUAGGUAUUGCUUGAAUCGAUCGACUACGUUCAGUGUUAAUGAGGGCCAGGAAAAAGGGGAUAUACGUUAAUGCCGUCUUUAACUGAAGGUGGCCGAACACAGUUUUCAAUGCCUAUACCUAAUUCACCAUUACUUUUAAAAUAUUUAUGAUUUGGCACCCGUUUUUAGCAAGAGUAAAGGCUAACUACAGAAGAGUUUAUUUUGGUAAGGUGUGUGCUUUUACCAUAGCAACGGGGCUGGUUGAAAAAAAGGCUUCAAAAAUGUUUUUUGUUUAUUU